AUAAUCCCUGCGGGGGAAAGAUUUAUCGCUAUUAGAUGAGCCUAUGUUAGAUUAGCUAGUUGGUAGGGUAAAGGCCUACCAAGGCAGUGAUCUAUAGCUGGUCUGAGAGGAUGAUCAGCCACACUGGAACUGAGAUACGGUCCAGACUCCUACGGGAGGCAGCAGUGGGGAAUAUUGGACAAUGGGCGCAAGCCUGAUCCAGCUAUGCCGCGUGAGUGAGGAAGGCCUUAGGGUUGUAAAACUCUUUCAGUGGGAAAGAUAAUGACGGUACCCACAGAAGAAGUCCCGGCAAACUCCGUGCCAGCAGCCGCGGUAAUACGGAGGGGGCAAGCGUUGUUCGGAAUUAUUGGGCGUAAAGGGCAUGUAGGCGGUUUGGUGAGUUAAAGGUGAAAUGCCAGGGCUUAACCCUGGAGCUGCUUUUAAUACUGCCAGACUCGAGUCCGGGAGAGGAUAGCGGAAUUCCUAGUGUAGAGGUGAAAUUCGUAGAUAUUAGGAGGAACACCACUGGCGAAGGCGGCUAUCUGGUCCGGUACUGACGCUGAGGUGC
rnacentral:rRNA from 1 species